GACGAACGCUGGCGGCGUGCCUAAUACAUGCAAGUAGAACGCUGAAGGAGGAGCUUGCUCUUCUGGAUGAGUUGCGAACGGGUGAGUAACGCGUAGGUAACCUGCCUGGUAGCGGGGGAUAACUAUUGGAAACGAUAGCUAAUACCGCAUAACAGUAGAUGCUGCAUGACAUUUGCUUAAAAGGUGCAAUUGCAUCACUACCAGAUGGACCUGCGUUGUAUUAGCUAGUUGGUGGGGUAACGGCUCACCAAGGCGACGAUACAUAGCCGACCUGAGAGGGUGAUCGGCCACACUGGGACUGAGACACGGCCCAGACUCCUACGGGAGGCAGCAGUAGGGAAUCUUCGGCAAUGGACGGAAGUCUGACCGAGCAACGCCGCGUGAGGGAAGAAGGUUUUCGGAUCGUAAAGCUCGGUUGUAAGAGAAGAACGAGUGUGAGAGUGGAAAGUUCACACUGUGACGGUAUCUUACCAGAAAGGGACGGCUAACUACGUG
rnacentral:rRNA from 1 species